rnacentral:tRNA from 1 species
AUUUAAAUAAUUUAAUUAUAAAAUAUUGAUUUGUGGUGUCAAAAAUAUGAUUUUAAUCAUUUUAAAUU